UACAGAGGUCUCAAGCGUUGUUCGGAUUCAUUGGGCGUAAAGGGUGCGUAGGCGGCGCGGUAAGUCGGUGGUGAAAUCUCGGGGCUUAACUCCGAAACUGCAUUCGAUACUGCCGUGCUUGAGGACUGGAGAGGAGACUGGAAUUUACGGUGUAGCGGUGAAAUGCGUAGAUAUCGUAAGGAAGACCAGUGGCGAAGGCGGGUCUCUGGACAGUUCCUGACGCUGAGGCACGAAGGUCAGGGGAGCAAACGGG
rnacentral:rRNA from 1 species